rnacentral:piRNA from 1 species
UAGGAGGAAGGCUGAAGCUUGAGGUGAUC